rnacentral:rRNA from 1 species
GACGAACGCUGGCGGCGUGCUUAACACAUGCAAGUCGAACGAAGUGGCGAACGGGUGAGUAACGCGUAAUCAACCUGCCCUUCAGAGGGGGACAACAGUUGGAAACGACUGCUAAUACAGCAUACUGAAGGAGGGGAUUGCGUCGGAUUAGCUAGGUGGAGGGGUAACGGCCCACCAAGGCGAUGAUCAGUAGCCGGUUUGGGGGGAUUGACUGCCACAUUGGGACUGGGACACGGCCCAGACUCCUACGGGAGGCAGCAGGGGGGGAUCUUCCGCAAUGGACGAAAGUCUGACGGAGCAACGCCGCGUGAUUGAUGACGGCCUUCGGGUUGUAAAGCUCUGUUAAUCGGGACGCGGUACCGGAAUAGAAAGCCACGGCUAACUACGUGCCAGCCGCCGCGGUAAUAC